GAAACCGAAAACUCGGCGGCCGAGGCUCCGUGCCCCGCGCGCAGCGCUGCUCCUGCCCCGGCCAAGGACGCACGGGCCAGCCGGCGGAACCAGAGGGGGGAAUUUGGACACAGACACCCAGAAAGAACACUGUGUGACCACUGAGACAGAUCCUGCUUAUGCUGACUCAAGCCAAGGAAUGGCAAGGUUGCUGACCACCACCAGAAGCUAGGAGAGAGGAACGGAACAGGCUCCCUUUGAACCCCUAAGAAGAAGCUAGCCCUGCCAACAUCUUCAUUUCAGACUUCUGGCCUCCAGAUUGAGAAUACAUUUCUGUUGUUUUAAGCCACCAAGUUUGUGGUAAUGUGUUAUGGCAGCCUUAGGAAACUGAUACAUAGGUUAUGUUCCAUAAGUUAGUUUUAAACAAUUAUCCUGAAAAUAACUAAUAGGAAAAAGAUGAAAAAUACCAAUGGCUUAUUAAGCUAAGAGCUAAAAUAUCCAUCCUUGCUUAGUUUUGAUAAGAUUGUGUGGCCAAGGCACAUAUUAUUCUGCUUCGUUAAACACUCUUUUUAUUUUUUUAUUUGUGUGUGUGUUUUUAUUUUUAAUUUAUUUAUUUAUUUAUUUAUUUAGAGACGGAGUCUUGCUCUGUCACACAGGCUGGAGUGCAGUGGCACGAUCUCAGCUCACUGCAUGCUCCGCCUCCUGGGUUCACACCAUUCUGCCUCAGCCUCCCGAGGAGCUGGAACUACAGGCGCCGGCUACCACGCCCAGCUAAUUUUUUUGUAUUUUUAGUAGAGACUGGGUUUCACCGUGUUAGCCAGGGUGGCCUCAAUCUCCUGACCUCGUGAUCCUCCUGCCUUGGCCUCCCAAAGUGCUGGGAUUACAGGCGUGAGCCACCGCGCCCGGCCCAUUAAACACUCUUUCUUGACGUUCUCUCUUCCUUUUGAUUUCAGUAGCAAUACUCUCUCCAUUCUUCUUUCAUUUCCCUGACUUCCUCCUCCCUCAUAUUUUUGGACUUCUUGUUCUCCACUUGCCCCCUACAUGUUGGUGUUUCCCAGGGCCCCAGGGCCCCCUGAAUAAUCAUAUUCACAUCCAGGAUUUCAAUGAUCACUUGUGCCUUGAUGGCUCUCAGCUCUUCCUUUCCAUUGCAAUGAUUUCAUCUGCACUCCAGACAGUACUUUGAAAUUAGUAUGCCCGAAUUCAAACUUCAGUUAUGCUCACUUGAUUUUAUUAUACUAAGUGAAUGGUCCAGCCUUUAACCUUUACUAAGUUAAUGGGCCAGCCUUCAUUUAGUGUCCUCUGGACACUGAAGUUAAAACCCUGGGAAUGAUUCUCGAUCCAUCCUCUUUCAUCUUCCAUCUUCCAUCAGAAAGUCUCAUAUGUAUAACUAUUAUGGAGGAGGGAUUAGUGGAAUGUAUUGCCAACCUAUCUAACUUCUCAGAGGAAAAAUAGUUCUAUAACUGUCAGGAACAUUAUAUUUGUCUAUAUCUCUAUAUCUAUGUUUACAUACAUCUAUGAAAUCAGCUAUGUAAAUUGUGAAAUAUAAUUAUGAUUCUAUUUAUUCCACUACUGUAAAUAGCUAUAAUUACAAGAUGGCAGCAUUUUGUUACCAACUGAUGGAAUUUGAAGGUAUCGGGGAUUUUGUGAAGAAAGUGACUUCAUCACCUAAGCAGUGGAUAAUGGUUUACAAUUACCCUCAUCGACAAGUUCUGUAGAAUUCUGUUUUGUUGGCAUAUUAUCACAUUUGACUCUUUUUAAAUGAGACAGGGUCUGUGUCACCCAGGCUGGAAUGCAGUGGUGCAGUCUCGGCUCGCUGCAACCUCCGCCUCCUGGGCUCAAGCAAUCCUCCCACCUCAGUCCUCCAAGCAGCUGGGACUACAGGCACGCGCCACCAUGCUUGGCUAAUUUUUGUAUGUUUUAUAGAGACAGGGUUUUGCCAUGUUCUCCAGGCUGGUCUCGAACUCCUAGGCUCAAGUGAUUUACCCACCUCAGACUCCCAGAUUUCUGGGAUUAUAGAUGUGAGCCACAGUGCCCAGCUGACAUUGACAUCUUAAAGAUUCACUUUUAGGCCUUAACGCGUGCCUCUGUGAUUAUUAUUGGUGGUGAUAUUGGCCUUAUUUCUAAAAAAAAGUUAUUGGAAAUUAAAAUUAUUUUGUGGAAAUAAUUAUUUUGUGGAAAGCUAAACAGGUCUUCCAAAAAAAAAUUUAAUCUGAAAUUUAUCAUAAAGCUUGAUUAAUUAAAGGACAUCUGUUACUGAACUGAACUGGGUCCAUUUGCCCACUGUGCAAUGGAAAGCCAAACACCAAAACACUCGGUUUUCAUAGCAUGAAAAAUUUAUUGCAAGGCUACCAAGCAAGGACACGGGUCUGGCUCAAAUCUGUGUCCCCACCUGGCACUUGGGUCAGGUUUUAUAGCCAGAGGGUAACAAGGCAUGACCUGAUUGCAUCUUGCAAUAAGGUGAGGCUGGGAGGCACCAUCUGACUAGAUCCUGCCAUGAGGUGACACCAGGGCGCAAUCUCAUUGGAUCCUGGAUCCUGCCAUGUGGUGUCCACUUCUUAAUUUAGUGAUCCAAGCAUUUAGGUUCUGCCCAUGGUUGCAUUCUUAGUUCAUCUGAGCCUCCUCAAGUUACAUGACCUUCAACCUGGGGGUCCAUGGCAACUAAAAAACAACUCACAGCUUCGCUAUAUAAAUGGUGAACCAUAAAGUUGAACCAGCUAAUUAACACAGGAACAGAAAACCAAACACUGCAUAUUCUUAUUAGUGGGAGCUAAACAUUGAAUACACAUGGACACAAAGAUGGAACAAUAGACACCAAAGCCUACUGGAGGGAGGAGGGUGAGGAUUGAAAAACUACCUAUCAGGUGCUAUGCUUAUUACCUAGGUAAUGAAAUAAUCUGUACACCAAUCCCCUCCUUGACACACAACUUACCCACAUAACAAACCUGCACAUCUACCCCCUGAACCUAAAAUAAAAAUUGGAAGAAAAAAAAAAAGUUGAACCAGACUGGUCUGGUGCAGUUACACAUCUAACACUUCUAAAUAUCCAAAAAAGUGGCACUGCAAUGACAAAGCAAGAUGUUGAGCGUAAGAAGACUAUGUGGGACUUUCUCAUUUUAUCAUUUUAGGAAUUCCCUAUAAUUACUUAAUGAUGAAUUGCUUUUCUUUCAAAAUCUCUUAAGUGAUGAAUAAUAUUAUCCACAAUAAUUCUACAGGAAUUCCUUGAUUAAACUAGAUAUUAUCUGAAAAUUGAUUGAUUGAUUGAUGGAUGGAUUUUGCACAUUCCACCCUCUUCCAGAUGUUGUAAUUGUGCUCACACCUUCUUCCAGAAGUCAUCAGAAACCAGACAAUGAGGAGAACCUCCCUGGAUCUUUUACUUUUUUUCCCUCAGGGACUUUAGGGAAAAUAUUGAAUAUUGAUAGCUGCUUUUAUUCUCUUGGCCUGUGGUUAUGGCACUUACUAAAUUUGAGUGCAGUUGUUAAUGCUAAAGUUUAGAACAUUAAUACAGUGAGAGAGAAAUACUUUGGAGAGAAUUAGAUGGGAACUUUCUGGAUAUUUGAAAACUAUUGGCUUAAGGUUGAUCCGAAAUAAGUCUAUAGUUGUGUUUAUAUUUAAACUGAAUCUCUUACAGAAAACAUAUAGUUGAGACUUUUUUUUAGAAGUUGACUGACAAUCUCUGCAUUUUAAUUUGAUAGAGAGUGUUUAGUAGACUUAUAUUUAAGGCAGUUAUUGAUAUGCUUGUGUUUAGCCUACCAUUUUACUAUAGGUUUUGUGUUUUGUUCUCUCUGGUUUUGUUUUUUUAUUCUUCUUUUUCUUCUUUUUUUUCUGGACUAUAUAAAUACUUUUUAUCUUUUUAUAUUUCCAUUUUAAUUUUUUUAGAGUUGGGGUCUCACUCCAUUGCCCAGGCUGGUCUCAAACUCCUGACCUUAAGCGAUCCUUCCGCCUCAGCCUCCCAAGUAGCUGAUAUUACAAGCAUGAGCCACCAUAUCUGCCUUUGAACGCUUUUUAAAUUUCAUUUUUAUUUGCCUUUGUCUUUUUCUUAUUUCUCUUUGCAUGAUGUCUUAAUGUUUUCUCUAUGGAUUACAGUGUACAUUCUUAAAUUUCACUGUGUACUUGAAAUAGUAUUGUACCUUUUCACUUAAUAGGUCCAUUUAACCACACACCCCAUCCUUUACACUAUAGUUGUAAAGUGUAUUACAUCUACAGACAAGAUAAAACCCACAAUAUAGUAUGUAUUUUAAAGAAAUUAAGAGGAAAACUACUCUUUUAUAUUUAUACACAUAUUUACCUUUAAUGUUCUUAAAUCCUUCCCAAAGAUCUAAGCUUCUCUCUGGUAGCAUUUCUGUAAGCCUAACAAACUUACUUUAGUAUAUUUUUUAUUGGAAGUCUAUUGGAGAUACAUAGUAUUAGUCUUAUUUUAUUUGAAAAUAUCUUUAUUUCACUUCGUCCUCAAGGAAUAUUUUUGUUGGAUAGAAUUCUAUUUUCUUUCAACUAUUUAAAGAUACUGUUCUACAUUUUACUGCCUUUCAUUGCUUCUGAUGAGAAGUCAGCCAUUAUUUGAUUCUUCUUUCCUCUGUCAAUAUAAUGUGUCAUUUUUUCUCUGGUUUAAAUAUUUUCUCAUUAUCUUUGAUUGUCAAUAGUUUAUCAACUAUGUGCUUAGAAGUUUUAAAAUUAUUAUUUACCCUGCCUGGCAUUUGCUAAGCUUCUUGAAUUUAUAAAUUUAUGUCUUUUACCAAAUUGGAGAAUUUUUCAGCCUGUAUAUCUUUUUAGUACCUUUUCUGCACCAUUAUCUUUCUUAUCUUUUUGAAAUUCCGACUACAAGUAUGUCAGACCCCUUAAUAUAGUCCUAAAUGCCCAUGAGCCUCUGUUGUUUUUCAACUUUUUUUCUGUGCUCUUCAGAUUCAAUAAUUUCUAUUGAACUAUCUUUAAGCUUACAAAUUCCUUUUGUGUUAUAUUCGUUGGGCUAUUAUAUCCAUCUAGUAAAUUUUGUGUCAUAUAUAUGGUAUAUUUCAGUUCUAGAAUUUCAAUCUGUUCUUUUAAAAUAUAUUGUCUAUUUCUAUACUGGUUGUCCCUAUUCUUUUUAUUAUUAUGAACAUAUUUUCCUUUGCUUCAUUGAGCAUAGUUAUUAUAGUUGCUGCUUUUAAAACAUUGCUUCAUUAUUCCAAUAUUUACAUCAUCUUUUAGUCAAUCUCCACUGAUUUUUUUCUUUUAUAAGAAUGGAUUACAUUUUCCUGUUUUUUUUAUUUACCUAUUUUUGGAUUGUCAAAUAAUUUUGGAGUGCAACCUGUGCGUUAUAAAUAUUAUGUGAUGAAGAUUCUGUUCUAUUCCUCCAAUGACACUGAUUAUCUUUUAAAAUGGCAAGCAGUGUGGUUAAACUCAAACUGCAAACCUGAUAUUGCUUACAGUAAGUAGAAGCUCAAAUCUGAAUUCACUUUUUAAUGUUGACCAGGCUGCUUUGAGUUUGCCUUGCACAAGCAUGGUUCAGAGAUUAUCCAAUAAUUGGUAUUUAUUUUAAAUACAGAAUUUGGGCUUCUUCCUCUCUUGCUCCCUCCUUUAUGUUUUCCCGCCUCACUUUCCAAAUAAUGUUGUUGCUGUGAACCCUGACCCCUGGUUCUUCAAACUAGAAAUAUUGCAUAUUUUCUAACAGAGUUUUAGCUACCUCACAUUGCACAGACAUGCACUAGUCUUGGGCUGAGGGUCAUAAAAUUUGGGAAAGUUGCUCCAUGCCUUUCCUCUGCCAAGUGUUGACUUUCCUCCACAAUCUGCCUGGUGUUGGUCACUCUCCACUGCCGAUAAUUGUUUUUAAUUUUUAACAAUAUUUUUCUAGUGUUUUAUAUUGUUAUAUGUUGGGGAGGGGCAGUCAAUUAAACAGAGCUACUCAGCAAUGGCUGAAAGUAGCACUCCCUGCAAUUGUAGUUAUAUCUGCUAAGUGGCUAGGUUAUUGGGAGGAGCUAGUAUGAACUGUUUCCUUUGCUAAAUUAGAUUUCUCUCCAGUAGAACAUUCUUUUGGAUGCAACCCAGUUUUUCAGAAGAUUGAAAUACAUUUGCAUAGACCUAAAUCUGGAAAUUGAGUAAAAACCUUCUGAAAUCAGGUACGGUUAAUCUAUUAUGGCUGAACAUCACUUUAGAAUGAAGGCUUAAAUAAAUAUUAAUACCACUAUAAUACAAAGGAAAGAAUUUUAAUCAAAAAAAGAGAAUAGUUAAAUGCAUUCUUGGAUUUCCUCUGAACUUUGUUCAAAUGCUAAACACAAAAUUCAUUUGAGUGAGUUACAGUAAGCUAUACCUUUAUGUUUGUUACCUUAUUUGUGCUUAACUUACCUCCAUGUACACUAAAACAAAAACUUCCUAAAAGCACUCACUUUUAUACUCAAUCUUAUCAGCUACUUAAAUGUAGCUCCUUUUGUCCAAUUAUACUGUGGCCUAUGAUGCUUAGUCACUUUGGAAUAAUGGUCAGAUAGUUUUCAUACUCCCACGGGAAAUAUAUGGAGAACAGGCUAGGGAAACAUGUUUAUUCAAAUUUAAUACGAAGCAACCAAGCUAAGAGAGAAAAUGAUAGCACACCCAAGAAAGAAAGAAAUGUUAUUAUAUAAAUUUUCUUAGCUCUCAAACCACAAAUAAUUAUAAGAACUUAUCUUCCUAUCAUAAGAUCAUGGAACAUGAUGCCUAAACAUAAAAUUGUAAAUGUUUGUUUUGAAAAAGAAGACAGGCUGGGCAUGGUGGCUCACCCCUGUAAUCCCAGCACUUUGGGAGGCCGAGGCGAGCAGAUCACCUGAGGUCAGGAGUUCAAGACCAGCCUGGCCAAUAUGGUGAAACCCUGUCUCUACUAAAAAUACAAUAAUUAGCAGGCGUACUCAUGCAUGCCUGUAGUCCCAGCUACUCCAGGGGUUGAGGCAGGAGAAUCGCUGGAACCCAGGAGCUGGAGGUUGCAGUGAGCCGAGAUGGUGCCGCUGCACUCCAGCCUGGGCAACAGAGCGAGACUCCAUCUCAAAAAAAAAGAAGACGACAAUAGGCAAUUUCUUCUGAAAAUCUUCCCUGUUUUUAAAAAGAAUAAAAAAGUUAAAGAAUAUUCUGCUUGACUGGAUAUUUAGGCUUACAAACAUCCAUACUUGCAAAAUUAUAUACACACACACAAACACACGAAUGCUCAUUAGAAGAAUAUUGUAGUAACAAAGAACUACAAUCUAAAAAUCUGCUAAUAGAAGACUGAAAACUAUGAUUCAUUCUUUCAAAAGAAGGAAGAUUAUAUAUGUGUGCACCUAUGGAAAUAUGUCCAUCAUGCACAACUCAGUGAAAAAGCAGAAGUCAGAAAUGUAUAUAUAGUAUAUCCAUUUCAUCUAUUUAAUUUCUUAAUAUUUAUGGAGUAGAUACAUAAGAAUGUUCUGGAUAGGAUUACAAGAAAUUGGUAACAAGUUAUUCUUGUGGAGAAGGUCUUUAUAAAGAUGAAGGAUGAGGAGUAAGAGAAGCUUGUGCUUUUCAGAGCUGUCUGUGCAGAUUGGCUUUUUAUCAUUGGUAUUUUUACUUCUUAAAAAUAAUGAUUUUUGAAAUCAAAGAAUGCCUUGCUAGAAAAGAAGCAUCACUUGUUAUUUUUUGAAUGUUAUAUUCAAUUUAUAAUCAAUAAAUAUUUAUAAAAUGCUUAUAUACAAGGUAUUGCACUAGGUUCUUUGGAUAAUCCAUAAAACAACUUGUGCCUUGGUCCCUGUCCUCAAGAAGUUUACUGUCCAGUUGUGGACUAUGACAAUAAACGCUAUUUGUGAUAAGCACCGAUUGAGAAGCACAGGCAAUAGUCUUUCAGGAGUUCAGAGGAGUGAUGACUUUUGACUGUUAAGGAGGAGGGGUUUAAGAGCUACGAGAAAGAAAAAGUACGAGCCUAGGACAGAUAAUAGAGAUAACAACAGAAUUAUAGGAAAUGAGCAAGAGGGUGUGUCUGAAAGGGGAUCUUCCUCCUGACAAGGAGGGCUGAUUUUUCUUAUGGGAACAGCAAGAUUGUUUGCAAGCAUACUUUGUUGGUGAAGGCAUCCUUUUACCAACUAUUUCAUUAGCACUAUCCAGCUCUGCAUGUCUCCAGGGACAGUGCUGGCUUGAUUAAGCUCUGAAUGGGUUUCUGAGUUGCAGGGAAACUGGAGGGAGGAGAGACCCAUUUUCUACAGUAUAGCCUUGUCAGAGCUGAAAGGAAGGUAGUACUUCCCAGUUUAAAGAGAGGAAGAAACUAAAUUGCUUGCUGGAACCAAAGAAGACCCAGAGAUGUCUGACUGACUGUUAGGCAGUGAGGCAGAAAUUCCAGGCUGGUAGAAAGAUCUGAACAAAAAAAAACAGACUUUAUUGAAAAGGCAAUUCCCAGGCCUGCUAAAUGGAAAGAGAGAUGUCUAUUGGAAGGAAGUAAAACAUUCUUCAUAAAGAAGGUUUGGAGCCAGAUAUAAAGAAAGAUAUUGAAUGUCAUAUGAUAAUUUUUGCACUGAAAUAGACAAAGGAUAAAAGUUUGACAGUUCAUAAAGGAUGCAUUUUUUAAAAGAAAAAGAGGAUAGAAAAGGAUAAAAUAUGUCUUAAGAUAUAUUUUAAAAAACAAAAAACAGGCCAGGCACGGUGGCUCACACCUGUAAUCCCAGCACUUUGGGAAGCCGAGGCGGGAGAAUCACAAGGUCAGGAGUUCGAGACCAGUCUGGCCAACAUGGUGAAACUCCAUUUCUACUAAAAAUACAAAAAUUAGCUGGGUGUGGUGGCACAUGCCUGUAAUCCCAACUACUUGGGAGGCUGAGGCAGGAGGAUCACUUGAACCCGAGAGGCGGAGAUUGCAGUGAGCCAAGAUUGCGCCAUCACACUCUGGCCUGGGCAACAAGAGUGAAACUCCGUCUCAGGAAAAAAAAAAAAAAAAUUAGUUUCCUCUAGGAAAGUCCCUGGGUGCCUAAGGGUCAGAGAGGAGAGGCUUAAGUCUCCCUUUUUCUGUCUUUUGAAUUUUUACUUAUAUAAAUAUAUUAUUUAAAAAUUAAAAUUAAUAAAAUGAUGAUUAACAGAGAGAGACUAAAUUAAAGUGUUGUAUGUAUGAGCUGAGAUUAACAAAUGGGCUUUAUGUAAGCUAGGCAGACCUUUGGUGCCAAAUAGCCUGAGUUUAGAUGUAGGCUGUGCAGCCAUUGUCUGAGAAUGCUGGCUCCUAGCACCUGACAACAGUUUUAGAAAUUAGAUUCGUAGAGCUGAAGAAGAGAUGCCUCAACCCAUAUGGCGCUGGGUUGGGGCACAGACCCUCCCAUGGGGAGGAGGUAACCCUUGUUCCAGGUCAGCCCAUCAACAGAUGGCAACUUCAGGGUCGUUCAGCAGACAAUUCAACUUGUCUCUCUCCAAACACUCUCUCUCUCUUUUUUUUUUUUCCUUUUUUUGAGACAGAGUCUAACAUUGUUGCCCAGGCUGAGGUGGAGUUGUGCGAUCUGGACUCACUGCAACCUUGACCCCCUAGGCCCAAACAAUCCCCCCACCUCAGCCCCCAGAGUAGCUGGCACUACAGGCAUGUGCCAACAUGCCCAGCUAAUUUUUGUAUUUUUUGUAGGGACAGGGUUUUGCCAUGUUGCCCAGGCUGGUCUUGAACUUGUGGGCCCAAGCAAUCCUCCCGCCUCAGCCUCCUAAAGUGUUAGGAUUACAGGCAUGAGCCACUGCACCUGGCCCACACUCUUUUAAUAUUUGUUUGUUUAAAGAACAGCAUUCUGGACUGGGCGUGGUGGCUCACACCUGUAAUCCCAGCACUUUGGGAGGCCAAGGUGGGUGGAUCACCUCAGGUCAGGAGUUCGAGACCAGCCUGACCAACACAGUGAAACCCUGUCUCUACUAAAAAUACAAAAAAAUUAGCUGGGCGUGGUGGUGCAUGCCUGUAAUACCAACUACUCUGGAGGCUGAGGCACAAGAAUCACUUGAACAGGGGAGGUGGAGGUUGCAGUGAGCCAAGAUCACACCAUUGCACUCUAGCCUGGGCAACAAGAGUGAAACGCCAUCUAAAAAAAAAAAAAAAAAAGAAUAGCUUUCUGUAUAAAACUACAAAAUUAUACAAAAACAGAAGAAAAUAGUAACUAUCCAUUUACUUAAAAUAGGAAAAAAUAACCCAAAUAUUUCUCAUUUAUGACAGCAACAUAAUUAGAAAUAACCAAAAUAUUGCUAUUUACUUACAAUAAUGUAAAGUUGGAAGCCACUUGUAGGUCUUCCAUUAGGUCGGUUUACUUAAGGCAUCAUUUCACUAAGUGCAGUAAUUCACAGAGGCUUGUUUCUCACUCAGAUCAUAUAGUCUGAUGCCGAUUAGAUGGUCUUUUCUCUGCUAAGUGGUAACUCAGGAAUCUAGGCUGCUUCCGUAUUACAGCCAUGUCAACUAGAACCUCCAAAGCCACUGCAGCAUCAGACAAGAGAGCUGGAGGGAGACAUGAGUUUUUUAGCCCCGGGCCAGUCAUUUUCACCCACACUCUAUCAGCUGGAACCCAGUCACAUGGCCCCAGCAGAACUGCAAGUGAGGUGGGGAAAUGCGAGCAUCCCAUGUGCACAAGGAGAGGCAGCAGCGGACAGAAUGAGCAAGCACACUGGGCACAGGAGGAACUUUGUUAAUAAAUUAUGAUAUAUCUUUAUAGUGGAAUAUCAUUUAGGCUUUAAAAAUCAGAUUUUGAAGAGUACUUAAUGACAGGAAAAUGCCAAUGAUAAGUGAAAAGAAUGUAGACUCAGGAUUCUAAUUUGGGAAAAAAUCAUACAUGUAUAUACGUACUUAAAAUAUAGACUAAGAGGAAAUAGAAAAUAUGUUAUUUGUGGUUAUCUCUAAAUAGUAGGGUUAUAAGUUACUUUAUUUUUUACAGCUUCAAAGACAUUGCUAAGUUUUCUUAAUUGAUCACAUAUUUUUUCGAAAAGAACUAUGGAUAACUUGAAAGCCAAGGCUUUUUUUUUUUAAGUGAAAAAGAAAUUCUCAGACCAUCGAAAGUAUAAGUUGUUACAGAUACGAAUCUGAAGUUAUGCUAGUAAGCUUUUUUAUCAGCAGAGGGCAGCUCUUUAGUGCUUAUUUUUCCUGGUGGCAUAGAUGUUAGCCACAUUCCCUGUUUUACACAUUCGCUGUGGUCAGAAUCACAUAUUAGAUUUAUUCCCUGGGAAGGAGAAGCCAAGGCUGAAACAUAUCUGUCAGUUGCAACACUUAUUGAACAGUAUAUAUUUUGCUGAAGAAAGCAACUAAGCAAACCAGCUCUGCCCCUUCAGAAGGUCUUAGAAAGCAGACAGAACUAACAAUCUACAGCCUCAAUCAUAAAACUGUGGACACACUGAACUAUCACACACCACGGGAACACUGACUUCACCAGAAAGCGACCACAUUUUGUUUGGAAGGGAAUGAGGACUAGGCCAAGGCGGUUUGAUAUUCCGGUAGGAAAGGGCUAGACAGAAACCAUAUUUCAUGUGUACAGUGAGACUUUGUGGAUUAAAAACUAUCAUUUUUAAUGUCCAUCCAAGGCAAAGAAUAUUAACAGGAUAUGAACAGACUAAAUAUGGAUGGCUAAUUAAAAUACAAAAAUGUGCUCAAUAUGUAUUUUUAAUCUAUCAUGUUGAAAAUUUUACAAGAUUGGUCAUGUCCCAGUGUUGAUGAGGUAUGUGGAUCAACAGUUAAUUCUCAAAUGCUGUUGGUGGGAGUAUAAAUUAGCCUUUGUACUACCAACAUUUUAAAUGUGUGACUACUUUGAUGGACAAUUGCCCAUCAAUUGCUCCUUUACCUCAAGGUAACUCACUCAGCAGAGAUAAUGUGGGUGAUGUGAGCAAGGCCUGUGCUGUCCUGCUGUUCAGCUCCCUAACCUAAGCCUACUCUCAACCCCUCAACCAGCCUAGAAAAGGUCCAAAGCAGGAGAGAGAGAGAGAGAGAGAGAGAGAGAGGAGAGAGAGAAGGAGAGAGGAGAGAGAGAGACAGAGAGACGGAGAGAGACAGAGAGACAGAGAGAGAGACAGAGAGGAGAGAGAGGAGAGAGAGAGGAGAGAGAGAAGGAGAGAGGAGAGAGAGAGAGAGAGAGAGAGAGAGCCCCCCUAUAGAGCCCUCUAGUGGCUGCUUUUUAGAGAACUGGCCACUUGAGGAAUUUGCUUCACGUCUUCCCACCACGGUGCAAAAGGCAAGACUGACAUCAGAGGACUUUGAUGCUUGGCUACCUGAUCCUACCACCACCACCUGAGACUGGCCAGGCACAGCCCUCUAGCUUGACUUUGCCUAAGAUGAGCUCUGGGCAUUCCCAGAGUGGUACAACUGAAAAUUCCUUCCCUGCUAGUUAAAGAAAAAAUUGUUCAUGGAUAAUUAAUAAAGCCUGUUAAGAAAGACUUUAUUCGGACCAUCCCAUAGGUAUAGGGACCACAGCAAUGGGAUUGCAACUCCAAAUACAGCAUGGGCAAGUAGAAAUGUAUAGCCAAGGAGCAGGGUGGUGGUCAGUGGAUGGAAAAGUGCUAAGGGAAACCUGAGGAGUAAGGGGGAUUCUGUGUAAGGCAACCUCACAAGACUCUUGCUGAAGACAGGCCAGGGUGAUAAGACAUCACCUGGGAGAUGGUGAAUGAUAAAGAACCUGAUCAGAUAUUGAGGGUGGGUGGGGUAGGGGGUGGUCUUGCUAAACUGACUUAACAGAGUUCUUGCUAAAACUAGAUUUUACGAGGAAAUACACAUAUGAGCCUACGAGAGGGUUCAGGACUCUGACUAAAGUUUGGCCAAGCGAAGGAUUUUUGUCACGGUGCCCCAAUGCAUACAGACAAGGAAUCUGGCAAAAUCCCCAAAGAUGUUAUCUUAUGUGGAAUCCCCUGGAAGCACAGGGACACACUGGUAAGGCAAUUCCCUGGAGCAACUUAGGUUUCCAAUUGCUUCCUUGAAAAUAUGCAAACUAACUUUUUUAAUGACCUCGAGUUAUACAAGGUUGAGCAAGUAAGGAAAACAUUAUAUAGGUAGGAAAGAAUGGGGGGUGGGAUAGGGACACAAAGGAACGUUUAGGUUUGUAAAGUGCUUAUUGCGUGCCAGGGAUCAGGGCUGCUACCUAUACUGGUGCAAUGUGCUGGCCCACCCACAAGCUCUAAGGCACCUCUGCACACAUUAGAGAAAAGUAGGUGCAGGGUUUAGCAGAAAGACAGAGAUUUCGUGUGAAGCCAAACAUGCCCUAUUCUUGGGUAUAUGCAGCUGCAUGUCGAGACACACAACUUGGCAAGAAAAGGGGACUUGAAUGUGGUUCCUGCUCACCUCCGCCCUGCUGGCCAAGGACCUUGGUGGAGUGCACCAACCCCCAGCUAUAUCAGCAACCUCCAGUUUUGCCAAUGCCAAAGGCCCCCAACCAAGAAAAAUAGUGAGAGCUAAAAUCUAGCCCUUGCUUUGCUGGCCCUGAGCCCUGUGUCAAUCUGGAGGGGUCACCCUUGUGUAAUAAGCACAAAGUUACCUUUGUGCCAGUGGCCCUGACUGUAUGUUGUGUCAUCCUCUAAUUCCCCUGUGAGGUAGUCAGAGUGGAUUUACUGUGAAGCUAAUGACACAGACUUUUCCAUAGACCCAGAGAGAGGCUCAAGGAUUGGUUUACAUGGUCAUGUUUUGUCCUAACAUUUGCAAAAGCAGGAUAAUUUAACUGUAUAAUUAUAAUAAUGUAAACUUGCAUAAAAUUUCACCUAAAAAUAUUGCCAUAGCAACUUUUGAAGACAAGUACAAUUAUUACCCCAUUUUAUAACUGAGACAGAGAAAAGCUCAGUAGCAUUGCUGUUGAGUGGUAGGUAGAGCUUGAAUUUGUUGCAAGCUGGCUGACUCCAAGGCCAAAAGAUCAUGGGGAAUAUGUAUAUUGUUUCCAAGAAGACAAAGUUUCCAAGAGCAUCCUACAAGGUGCUGUUCAUUCUUGCCCCAAAUUCUCCAGAUGUCAUGAGAUAUAGAAGAGAAACAUCUUUCGAUGUUGUUCUAGUCAGAGGAGACUUCUAAUAGGCAGAGAACAAGUUAUGGAAGCUGUUCCUGAAAGAUGCAGUUGUCAUUGUGGAACCAGUCUUGGAUAUUGUGUGGCAGCUGGACCACACAGCCAUUGUUAUAAAGGAGAGCAAUAUGCCUUGUGACCCUUGUAUUAUUUAGGGUAUAGUCUUUCAGGGAGAAACAACUUUUCCUCUGUCCUCUUAGGUUCAGUAUCUGGGGGCCUGUGAAUUAAACUAACAAAAGAUAGAUUAAUGAGAGAAAAAGCGUGCAAUUUUUGCUAAUAUUUAUAUGCACAAGAGUUCACAGAAAAGAAGUGAAACUCAAAGAAGUAGUUAGACUUCUAGUUUACAUAUAAUUUUAAUAAAGGAAAAUUUGAACUUCAAGGGAUGAUAAAUCAUGGGGAAGUAACUAGGAAAUAUAUGGGGGAAACUAACAGAAGAUAAAGGUUCUUUUCCUAAGGUCUGUUAUGCAGAUUUAUCUUGGUGCCAACUCUCCAUCUCUGGUGAUAUAAGUUGCUCUCCUUUUCCUGAUACAGGAGAUAGACACCAUAACAAAGGGAAACUCAUGCCCAACUUCUAGGCAGAUAAAGGGAGGGUGGAGAACUCUUCUACAUCUGUUGAUUUUCAGUUGCCUUUGGGUCAAAAUAAACCUUACGUUAAAGUGGCAUAUUUUGGGGUAGCGUAUCCUGAUCCCCUUCAAGUAAAGAAAAAAAAAAAAACAACAACACUGUGGCUUACCUAAAAUCUAAAUUUAUCUCCCUCCCAUUUAACAGUCCAGAAUAAGUGGCCUGGGUCGGUAGGACAGCUUUAUCAUGCUCAAUAUAUGGCUCCCAAGAUUUCUUCAGCCAGCCAUCACCUAAGGCACAAGUGAGAGUCCCUUUGGUUCAGACAGAAUCACAUGGUCACAUCUAGCUGCUUAAGAAGACAAGAAAUUAGUCUCUAGCUGGGCUCGUGUAAAACUUGGGGAUUCUUUUACCAAAAAAAAUAGAAGGGAAGAUGGAUAUUGGGAGAUUAUUGGCAGUAUCUACCAAAGUCAUGAAGCCAACAAUGGUUUGACUUAGGGAACUCUGGGGGUUGAGGACUGUGAGUAUGAUGUAAAAAUUAAUGUGAAUUUUAGGACAAAGAAGAUGAAUAAGAGAGACAGCUUUCCCUGGGGGUAAUGGGAUACAGGUUGCACGAGGCAAAAAGAAAAGUGGAGCACAGAGACAGCCACUUCAGGGAACUUUCCUGUGCUGUGGGUGAGGAUAAUUCCACAACAAGAAGAUACAAAGAAAAUCUGAGAGUCACUUCUGUUCACUCACAAGAUGAUUUGCGAGACCCAAGAAGAAGACCUGUUAGCUUAGAGAACAGGGAGAGGAUUUUUUUUUUUUUAAUGACACAAAGGAGAAAGAUUGAAACUUUUCUAGUCUAUCCACGGCAGAGUUUAUCAAUCCUUUACUGAGGAACGAUUCACUAUCACACAAGGUCUCAUGGAUGGUAACCACAUCCUUCCUCUUCCUUCCUCAACCAACCUCUGUAAAGAGUAUUCUAGGACUCAUUGUCUCUACCUUCUCAUCUUUCUACCAAUGAAGCAGCUCCUGUUUUGGUGUUGAGGGACAUUGUUAUUGCCCAAUUCAGCAGUACUUUACAUUCUUACAUGGUGUUUCUCUGCGUCACCUAUUUUAAAUAAUUAACCAUUUCCUUCUUCCUCAUAUUAUUUCUUGUCAUGAUUUCUAUGACAUCAGUUUCUCCUAAUUCUCUCCAGCUUCAUCUUCUCAUUCUCCUCCCUAAACUGCUUGUCUACUUACAUCGUGGUUUGUUAGAAAGAGUAGAUUGGCUCACUCAAGUUGAUCUUAACCUCCUCCUGAGUUUCAGGGGCUGGAAAGCUAAAAAGCUACAUAUCCUAAACUCCUUUGUUUCUUGAGUUCCAGACAUAUUUUAGAUUCUGCCAAUCAGAUGGACUCAUAUAGUAUGGAGACCUGAAAAGAGGCGGGUGGAUGCAAGGAAGCUAUUUUGGGGAAGAAUCUGAUAAAGGCAUUUAUUAGAUUUUCAAUAAAAUCCAUGUCUUAGUCCAUUUUGGCUGCCUAAACAACAAAUGUUUAUUUCUUACAGUUCUGGAGGCUGAGGAGUCUGAGAUCAAGCUAUCAGUAGAUUUGGUGUCUGGUGAAAGCCUACAUCCUGGUUUAUAGAUGGCCAUCUAUGGCCAUCAUGUUAUGUCUUCACAUGCAGGAGGGAUGGAGGGAGCUCUCUCUCUAAUAAGGGCACUAAUCCCAUCCAGGAGAGUUCCCCUCUCAUGACCUAAUUGCCUCUCGAAGACCCCACCCCCUAAUCCUAUCAUCUUGGGGGCUAGGAUUUCAACAGAUGAAUUUGGUGGGGGGAACACAAACAUUUACUCCACCACAGUCUAUAAACCACAAGCCAUAAACAGUCUAUAAGCCAUAAACAGGGUGAGUCACUGCUUUAUGCCUUCUUUCUAGGAAAUGCAUCUGCUCUCACGUUUCCAUUUCCUGUGUGCGCAGAUGAUUUCUAUGUUAGUCAGCUAUUAACGCAAAAAUGCUGCAUAACAAACCACCUAUCUUAGUCUGUUCUGUGCUGCCAUAACAGAAUUACUGGAGACUAGGUAAUUUAUAAAAAACCAGAAAUUUAUUUUUCACAGUUCUGGAGGCUGGGAUAUCCAAGAUCAAGUCACCUUCAGGUUUGGUCUCUGGUUUUAAGAUGAUGCCUUCCUAUGUCCUCACAGGACUGAAGAGCAGAAGAGAGAGACAGCCCAUUCCCACAAGCUCUUUUCAUGGUGGCAUUAAUCUGUUCAUGAGGGUGGAGCUCUCAUGACCUAAACAGCUCCCCAAGGGCCCCCACUUCCCAACAUGGUGGCAUUGAGGUUGAGUUUCCAACAUGUAAAUCUUAGAGAGGACAAAAAAUAUUCAAACCAUGGCACCACUGCCAAAUUCAUAGGCUUGCAACAAGCCUUUAUAGUUUUUUACUCAUAGGUUUAUGGGUCAUUUGGGGCAGCUCUGCUUCAGGCUGCAGGUCACCUGGGCUUUCUUUGGGCUUCAGAUUGGGUUCUGAUCUCCCCAUUGCCCUUGAUUGACAGUUACUCAUGACAUGUUCUACCCAUGACAUGUUCAUCCCAUGACAGAUCAAAGAAGCUUAGGAGAGAAGCCAUGUCACACAGCACAUUGAAAGCUUCUGCUCUUAUGUCUGCUUCUGUUUUGUUGAACAAAGUAAGAUACCUGGCCAAGCUCAAAGUCAAUGGAAUAGGAAAGUAUAAUUGUCCUCCAGGGGAAGAAGGAAGGGAAUUAAUAUUUUGUAAAAAGUUGACCAGAUCAGCUGGGCGCGGUGGCUCAUGCCUGUAAUCCCAGCACUUUGGGAGGCUGAGGAGGGCAAAUCAUGAGGUAAGGAGAUCGAGACCAUCCUGGCCAACAUGGUGAAACCCCGUCUAUUCUAAAACUACAAAAAUUAGCUGAGCAUUGUGGCUGCGUGCCUGUAAUCCCAGCUACUCAGUAGGCUGAGGCAGGAGAAUCGCUUGAACCAGAGUGUCAGAGGUUGCAGUGAGCCAAGAUCGUGCCACUGCACUCCAGCCUGGCAACAGAGCAAGACUCUGUCUCAAAAAAAAAAAAAAAAAAAAAAAAAAAAAGAUGACCAGAUCUAU
rnacentral:lncRNA from 1 species